GAAGAGUUAAUUUGCAAAAGCCUCUAAGUGCCAUCUGAAAUUUUCAUCUGAAAUGAGCAUCUUUAUCAGGCUCCUAUCUUUAUGUUCAUAUUUAAACCUACACACACACACACACAC